AUGAACGCUAGCGACAGGCCUAACACAUGCAAGUCGAGGGGCAGCACAAGGAGCAAUCUGAGGUGGCGACCGGCGCACGGGUGAGUAACACGUAUGCAACCUGCCUGUAAGCGGGGAAUAACCCGUUGAAAGACGGACUAAUACCGCAUAAUACUAAAUUACUGCAUGGUAAUUUAUUUAAACAUUUAUGGCUUACAGAUGGGCAUGCGCAUGAUUAGCUAGUUGGAGAGGUAACGGCUCCCCAAGGCAACGAUCAUUAGGGGUUCUGAGAGGAAGGUCCCCCACACUGGUACUGAGACACGGACCAGACUCCUACGGGAGGCAGCAGUGAGGAAUAUUGGUCAAUGGACGAGAGUCUGAACCAGCCAAGUCGCGUGCAGGAAGAAUGUCCUAAUGGAUUGUAAACUGCUUUUGCAGGGGAAUAAAGUGCGUCACGUGUGAUGUUUUGUAUGUACUCUGCGAAUAAGGAUCGGCUAACUCCGUGCCAGCAGCAGC
rnacentral:rRNA from 1 species